rnacentral:rRNA from 1 species
UGGGGAAUAUUGCACAAUGGGCGCAAGCCUGAUGCAGCCAUGCCGCGUGUAUGAAGAAGGCCUUCGGGUUGUAAAGUACUUUCAGCGAGGAGGAAGGCGUUGUGGUUAAUAACCGCAACGAUUGACGUUACUCGCAGAAGAAGCACCGGCUAACUCCGUGCCAGCAGCCGCGGUAAUACGGAGGGUGCAAGCGUUAAUCGGAAUUACUGGGCGUAAAGCGCACGCAGGCGGUCUGUCAAGUCGGAUGUGAAAUCCCCGGACUCAACCUGGGAACUGCAUCCGAAACUGGCAGGCUAGAGUCUUGUAGAGGGGGGUAGAAUUCCAGGUGUAGCGGUGAAAUGCGUAGAGAUCUGGAGGAAUACCGGUGGCGAAGGCGGCCCCCUGGACAAAGACUGACGCUCAGGUGCGAAAGCGUGGGGAGCAAACA